rnacentral:tRNA from 1 species
GGGGCUAUAGCUCAGCUGGGAGAGCGCCUGCUUUGCACGCAGGAGGUCAGCGGUUCAAUCCCGCUUAGCUCCACCA